rnacentral:rRNA from 1 species
CCCUUAGAUGUUCUGGGCCGCACGCGCGCUACACUGAUGCAUUCAACGAGCCUAUCCUUGACCGACAGGUCCGGGUAAUCUUUGAAUCUGCAUCGUGACGGGGAUAGAUUAUUGCAAUUAUUAAUCUUCAACGAGGAAUGCCUAGUAGGCGCAAGUCAUCAGCUUGCGUCGAUUACGUCCCUGCCCUUUGUACACACCGCCCGUCGCUCCUACCGAUUGGGUGUGCUGGUGAGGCUUUGGGAUCUGAGCGGAAAGAGCGUUUCGCUGUUUCUGCUCGGAAAACUCAGUCGAACCUUAUCAUUUAGAGGAAGGAGAAGUCGCAACA